rnacentral:rRNA from 1 species
GCUUACGGCCAUACCACCCUGAACGGGCCCGAUCUCGUCUGAUCUCGGAAGCCAAGCAGGGUCGGGCCUGGUCAGUACUUGGACGGGAGACCGCCUGGGAAACCAGGUGCUGUAAGCU